UAAGAGAGUUUGAUCCUGGCUCAGGAUGAACGCUGGCGGUAUGCCUAACACAUGCAAGUCGUACGAGAGUUUUUAACUCUAGUGGCGGACGGGUGAGUAACACGUGAGAAUUUGCCUUUAGGAGGGGGAUAACAAUUGGAAACGAAUGCUAAUACCCCAUAUGCUUUCGAGUGAAAUGGAUUUAUAUUUAUCCGCCUAGAGAGAAGCUCGCGGC
rnacentral:rRNA from 1 species